rnacentral:rRNA from 1 species
UACGUAGGGGGCAAGCGUUGUCCGGAUUUACUGGGCGUAAAGCGCGCGUAGGCGGAACGAUCAGUCCGGUCUGAAAGCCCCCGGCUCAACCGGGGAGGGUGGCUGGAAACUGUCGUUCUUGAGGGCGAGAGAGGAGGGUGGAAUUCCUGGUGUAGCGGUGAAGUGCGUAGAGAUCAGGAGGAACACCAAUGGCGAAGGCAGCUCGCUGGGACGGUACUGACGCUGAGGCGCGAAAGCCAGGGGAGCAAACGGG